GCAGCUUCCACCGGGCCUCUUGGGCUGUGUACUCUUGACACUCUUGCUCUGAGAACUAAGCAGGCAUAUUUCAUAUCAAAAUAGUAAAGAACUUCCUUUCCAAAGGCAGGACUUGCUUCUGUGAGGUACUGAGCCACCCGUCCCUGGAGGAAAGCAAGAACAGAGCAGAUCAGAGCCCAGGCAGACAUCUUGGAUGAUGGGGUACAUCUUGCCAUCCAGAGGCAAUGCUGGAGCGGGCAGUUGUCUGCGGGGAGGCCCUGGCUCACUCUGGGCCAAAUAACAGGACUGAUUGCAGCCUGCGAUGAAACAUCCUGUUUCUCCCAACCAGAAACAGGUAGAGGAGAGAAGAGCCCCAGUGAGAGAGUGAAGCAGAUGAAAAGAUAACAUGAAAACCAACCAAGCAACGAACAGACAAACAAAAUAACCCAUUUCAAGUUCUCGGAGCCUGGUCUCAUUUCCAGCCGGAAAUUACUGCUGCAGACUGCAGGGUGCUCCCUGCACUCCCUGUGUAUAUGAUCUAGUGGUUGCUAAUGUCUUUAGAGAGAGAAAGACGUACACUGUUAUGAGGUGAGUCCCCAGGAGUCAGGAAUUUACCUGUGCCCUGGGGCAGGCACUGCCCUGGGGAGAGGAAGGAACUUCCUCAUUAAUUCAUUCCACAGGGAUGGAUGCUGCCCUCAGCCUCUGCAGGGAGCUGUUCUGCGUGCUGGAGGUGGAGACGCCAGUGCCUCUGAGGGCCUCCUUUUUCUGACAGAGCUUGCAGAGAAGGCAGACAUGAAAUGGAUGGUCACAGAUGGGGUGGAGGUUACAGAAGGGGAUGCAUAGACAGCCAGGGAGUGCUUAGGGCUUGAAUGAGGGGAAUUGCAGAGGUGAGAAAAAGGGAACAGAUUCCAAAGAUAUGAAGAAA
ensembl:lncRNA LINC02369 long intergenic non-protein coding RNA 2369